UAACACGUGGGCAACCUACCUCAUAGAGGGGAAUAGCCUUCCGAAAGGGAGAUUAAUACCGCAUAAGAUUGUAGUACCGCAUGGUACAGCAAUUAAAGGAGCAAUCCGCUAUGAGAUGGGCCCGCGGCGCAUUAGCUAGUUGGUGAGGUAACGGCUCACCAAGGCGACGAUGCGUAGCCGACCUGAGAGGAUGACCAGCCACACUGGAACUGAGAUACGGUCCAGACUCCUACGGGAGGCAGCAUG
rnacentral:rRNA from 1 species